rnacentral:rRNA from 1 species
GCGGCAGGCUUACACAUGCAAGUGAGGGGUAGGUCAGCUUGCUGAACACACGACCGGCGCACGGGUGAGUAUCGCGUUUGCAAUCUACCUCUAACUGGAGAAUAGCCCGAAGAAAUUCGGAUUAAUACUCCAUAAUGUCAUUUAUUCGCAUGAAUUUAUGAUUAAAGCUCCGGCGGUUAGAGAUGAGCAUGCGAGUCAUUAGCUGGUUGGUGAGGUAACGGCUCACCAAGGCAACGAUGACUAGGGGUUCUGAGAGGAUGAUCCCCCACACUGGUACUGAGACACGGACCAGACUCCUACGGGAGGCAGCAGUGAGGAAUAUUGGGCAAUGGGCGCAAGCCUGACCCAGCCAUGCCGCGUGAAGGAUGACUGCCCUAUGGGUUGUAAACUUCUUUUAUACGGGAAGAAUGAUUUCUACGUGUAGGAAUUUGACGGUACCGUAAGAAUAAGCAUCGGCUAACUCCGUGCCAGCAGCCGCGGUAAUACGGAGGAUGCAAGCGUUAUCCGGAUUCAUUGGGUUUAAAGGGUGCGCAGGCGGAAUAUUAAGUCAGUGGUGAAAUCCUGCAGCUUAACUGUAGAACUGCCAUUGAUACUGAUAUUCUUGAAUAUAGUUGAGGUAGGCGGAAUGUGUAAUGUAGCGGUGAAAUGCUUAGAUAUUACCCAGAACACCAAUUGCGAAGGCAGCUUACUAAACUAAUAUUGACGCUGAGGCACGAAAGCGUGGGGAGCGAACAGGAUUAGAUACCCUGGUAGUCCACGCUGUAAACGAUGAUCACUCGCUGUUGGCAAUACAUCGUCAGCGGCUGAGCGAAAGCAUUAAGUGAUCCACCUGGGGAAUACGAUC